CAAUAGCGUAUAUUAAAGUUGUUGCAGUUAAAAGGCUCGUAGUUGGAUUUGUGGCGUACGGUGGGUUCCGGGCACUUGUUGUCUGAGUAACUUGCUGUUGCCAUCCUUGGGUGGAACCUGUGUGGCAUUAGGUUGUCGUGCAGGGGAUGCCCAUCAUUUACUGUGAAAAAAUUAGAGUGUUCAAAGCAGGCUUAUGCCGUUGAAUAUAUUAGCAUGGAAUAAUGAGAUAGGACUUUUUUGCUAUUUUGUUGGUUUGCGCAAAGAGGUAAUGAUUAAUAGGGACAGUUGGGGGUAUUCGUAUUCCAUUGUCAGAGGUGAAAUUCUUGGAUUUUUGGAAGACGAACUACUGCGAAAGCAUUUACCAAGGAUGUUUUCAUUAA
rnacentral:rRNA from 1 species